rnacentral:rRNA from 1 species
UCUUAGUGGCGGACGGGUGAGUAACGCGUGGGUAACCUGCCCCACUACCGGGGGAGUACCACCUGGAAACAGGUGCUAAUACCGCAUAAGCGCACGGGAGCGCAUGCUCCUGUGUGAAAAACUACCGGUGGUAUGGGAUGGACCCGCGUCUGAUUAGCCAGUUGGCAGGGUAACGGCCUACCAAAGCGACGAUCAGUAGCCGGCCUGAGAGGGUGGACGGCCACAUUGGGACUGAGACACGGCCCAAACUCCUACGGGAGGCAGCAG